UUAAUAAAAUCACUUUAAUCAAAUAUUUACAGAAUAGCAAUCCACUUGAUGAUAAUGAUACAUCAACAGAAUGCUCUGAGAUGAUAACUGAUACAAAAAGUUUAAGCGUAUUAGAGAUAAAAAUGAUUACUUAUUUGUUCUUUCUGUGUUGUAAUAAAUCAUUACAUUGAAAUAAUCAUUACUUAAUAAUCAAUAUAUUAUUAGAAAAUUUAUUUUUAGAACAAUAGUGAGAACAAAAAAGUUGAACAAAAAUCGUAUGCAUCACUCAUUCAGGGUACAACUGAUGAAUGUAUGAUAUUACAAGUAAAUGUGUUGUAGUGCAUCAAAUCUGAAAGACGAGAGUCAAAUGAUAAUGAUAAUAAAGAGAACAUAUUCACGCCUAAUAAUUGCAGCGUCAACUGUACUCAAAGUACAAAUUCAAAGGUUAAUGAUCACAUAAGCAUCGACAUUGGAGGAAUGCUCGUAGAUUUUACACGCUACAGCAGAUGCAGUAGAGAAAACUUCAGAAAGUUUACUAGCGACUUACUUGGCGCGGUAUUUUCAAGAGAAAUCUUGGCGACUUCCAGUUUAACUGGAAAAAUCUCGAAUAUUCAAAAGGCCGCUGAUCCAAAUUACAAAGGAAAAGCCAAAUUAGAUAAAGUUAGAAGCAAUAAAAGCUUAUGCAAUAUCAAUUUUUGGAUAUUUAAAUGAUGUGGAUAAAAUUUUCGAGAAAAUAGUCCGUGCCAAGUGCAACAAUGCUUCUCGUGAUAACAAGAACCAACUAAAAUAACUAAAAUAAUAAAAUUAAUAAGAUGUUUCUAAACAAAAUAUUCAGAAUAAUAAGAUGUUUUUAAAUAAA